CAGCCGCCGCGGGAAAACGAAGGGGGCUAGCGUUGUUCGGAAUUACUGGGCGUAAAGGGCGCGUAGGCGGCCAUUCAAGUUAGAUGUGAAAGCCCUGGGCUCAACCUAGGAAUUGCAUUUGAUACUGUUUGGCUUGAGUUCGGGAGAGGUGAGUGGAAUUCCCAGCGUAGAGGUGAAAUUCGUAGAUAUUGGGAAGAACACCAGUGGCGAAGGCGGCUCACUGGACCGACACUGACGCUGAGGCGCGAAAGCGUGGGGAGCAAACAGGAUUAGAUACCCUGUAGUCCCUGUCUCUUAUACC
rnacentral:rRNA from 1 species